rnacentral:rRNA from 1 species
GAUGAACGCUGGCGGCGUGCCUAAUAAAUGCAAGUCGAACGGACAGACGAGGAGCUUUUUCCUCUUACGGUUGCGGCGGGCGGGUGGGUGACGCAUGGAUAAGCUACCUAUUUUUCUGGGGUGACUACGGGAGGACGGCUCUAAUACCGGAGAAUAUCUUCAACCGGAUGGUUCAAGAGUGAAAGACGGCUUUGCUGUCACAUAUAGAUGGAUCCGUGCCGCAUUAGUUAGUUGGUAAGGUAACGGCCUACCAAGGCAACGAUACGUAGCCGACCUGAGAGGGUGAUCGGCCACACUGGAACUGAGACACGGUCCAGACUCCUACGGGAGGCAGCAGUGGGGAAUAUUGGGCAAUGGGCGCAAGCCUGACGGAGCAACGCCGCGUGGGUGAAGAAGGUCUUCGGGUCGUAAAGCCCUGUUAUUAGGGAAGAACAAAUGUAGAAGUAACCAUGCACGUCUUGACGGUACCUAAACAGAAAGCCACGGCUAACUACGUG